UACGAGGGGAGGCAAGCGUUGUCCGGAAUCAUUGGGCGUAAAGCGCGUGUAGGCGGCCAGGUAAGUCCGUUCUGAAAGCCCGGGGCUCAACCCCGGGAGGCGGAUGGAUACUGCUUGGCUCGAGUCCGGAAGAGGCGAGUGGAAUUCCCGGUGUAGCGGUGAAAUGCGCAGAUAUCGGGAGGAACACCAAUGGCGAAGGCAGCUCGCUGGGACGGUACUGACGCUGAGACGCGAAAGCGUGGGGAGCAAACAGG
rnacentral:rRNA from 1 species